rnacentral:tRNA from 1 species
GCUCCCUUAGCUCAGCUGGUUAGAGCAUCUGACUGUUAAUCAGAGGGUCCUUGGUUCGAGCCCAAGAGGGAGCG